CUCCUGCGCCCGCCUCAUUUUUCAUCUCACAAUCCCUCCAAACUCUCCCUCACCCACGAUCAAACUCAGACUCAGUCGACAGGCACCCUCGAUCUCCUCAGUCUUCCUUGUCGAUCGUCGUCGCCAGUCAGUCAUGCUCUCAUCGAAAACCCACAAUCCAUGCUCUCGCCUCCUUCUUGUCCCAUCGGACGUCAGUCGUGCCAUGGGCCGUAUUUUUGUCCCAUUUUUGCUGUUGUCUUCCUCAUAUCCAAGGGUGCAUGGAGGCAGCCAACAUCGAGCAAGUAUCCUUCAAAACUGAACUCUUGUCUUAGCCGGAUUUUUAUUUAAGCCUAGACAUUGGAGAUGUAUUCUUUAUUUGUGAUGCGUCGAUCCUCAUUACUCACCUUCAUUUUAAUGUACCAACUAUGAGGUGCAUGGAAGCAGCUAGCAUCGAGCAAGUAUCAUUCUCGACAGCUGGCCUGAGUGUGUUGGGUCCCUCACAAUACAUAUACUAGCCCAACACAACAAUUAUACCAGUGAUGAAUGCUAGCACUGAUGCAUCUUUAGAGGAAAAUCCCAUCUCCAAUAAUAGCUUGGGCGAGUCCUCUUCUUCUGGCAUCUUGGUUGCCAACUACUCUACACAGAAUGGAGGGAGGACGACUUCUUCUUCACUGCACCAAAUGUUUCCUUCCACACAUUCGAUAGAUGGCUCAACGUGGGCGUUCUUUGAUUUUCAUUUGAGUGACAUAACUUCUUCUUCCUCUUCUAAAUCGACAAGGUUGGCCUCAAGUAUGGCCACCUUACCUCCAUUCCUUUCUACAAUAAUCCUUUUCUUCAAGGGCUUUGUGGCUAAACUUUCACCCUUUUGCUUCGCUUUCUUCUUUUUAAAAGCUGUGAACAACCUCUUCACAGGCCCAUCAUUAGAGCUGAUAGGGCUUGGCUUACUAAAUACAAGCUCUUCAAGGCCACCCAUGGUAGGGAUAGACCCAAGUGGCAAAAUUGAAGGGACUGAAAUUCUCUACAACGGAAGCAAUUAGAUAUAGUUGUUUCUAAAUUUCUUUUUACAAAAUAUAUAAAGUAAUCCAAAGUGACAGAAACACAAGGAUAACCAUAAUUAAUCUAAGCAUGCUUGUACUAUGAUGAAAAUAGAUAAGAGGGAUAGGAUAUUACAUACCCUUGAAGACACCAUCUUCUUGCUUCCUUUAUAUAGCAUGAACAUGAACUGCUUCUUUCGAUCUUUCGAACUCGGCACCAUGAAUGCAGCGACAACAACAAGGAAAAGGAUGCCACCACGAGAUCUUCCUCUUUAUUCUUAAGGUGAGAAUUACAGCGGAGUUUUGUGGGCUCACUUGGAAUAAUUUUGGCGAAGGGAGAUCUUUGUUUAAAAGAGAUUUCUGAGAGAGGAAGAAAUACACAAAGAGAGAUUGAGAGGAUG